CCCAAAAUAAACCAUUUCACUUUUUACCUAUAAUUUUUGAUUCUUCGUCUUAUUUAAAUUUUUUUGUGAUUGAUAUUUUUGUUUUUAUUAGAUGAUAAAUCAUGAAUAGUACUUUACAUGUGACUAAUGUUUUUCUAAUUUUCUAAAAUAAUUUCAAAUAAGAUGGGUGGUCAAACGUUGGACACGGAAACC
rnacentral:pre_miRNA from 1 species